rnacentral:lncRNA from 1 species
CUUUUUGGGGCCAUGCCCAUGGCAUCUGGAAGUUCUCAGCCUAGGGGCAAAUCAGAGCUGCUGGCCUACAGCUGCUGGCAAUGUGGGAUGGAUGCUGCGUAUACAAUCUAUACCACAGCUUGCAGCAAGACCAGAUCCUGAACCCACUGAGGGAGGCCAGGGAUCAAACUGGUGUCUUCAUGGAUACUAGUCAGGUUUGUUACCACUGAGCCACAACAGGAACUCAUUAGAUUCUGUAUUUCAAUUUAACUCUUUGUUGGUUUGGUUUGACCAUCUGGGAGUUUUUUCCAAGGUUUCACUGGCAUUAUAAUCUCAACUCUUUGAUGGUGAAACAAUUUUUUGUUUCCUCUGUAUUUUAAAGAUAUCUUGAUUUUGCAAGGUAGGCUUAGGUCAAAAUUUCUUUACUCAAACUUUGAAGCCAUUGCUCAUUGACUUCUGUCAUUAAAAUCUGCUGUGGAGAUUCUGAUGCCAAAUUCUAUUUUUUGUCCUCACGACUUGCUUUUUUAUUUUCUCCUACAUACCUGAAGAAUUUUCUUUUAGCCUCAGAGUUCAAUAACUUAAUGGUGAUUUUAAUAACUCUUUCACAAUGUUUAGUGUUCCCAGAACAUUUUGUGCCUUUCAGUCCGUAGAUUGUUUUUCCUUACUUCAAGGAAAAUCUCUUCAAUAAAUUUUAAAUAUCUUUUUGUUCAAUUUAUUUGAAUUUUCUGUUUCUGAAACAGUGAUGUCUUGGGCCACUGGGUUAUUUUUUCCUCUCCGUUCUCUGCAUCUAUUACCUUUCUCCUUAUUGUUUUAGGCUCUUAGUUCUUUUCCCCCUCUCUAUGUUCACUGUAAUUAAGCCUUCCUUAUAUAUUAGUAAUUGUUUUCAGCUGUGUCUAUUAUAAUAGGUUGUUUUGGUCUUUCUCUUGUUUCCUCAUCUCUGCAAUGUCAAUUUUCAUCUCGUUCUAUGGUUUUAUUAUCUUUGGUUGGCAGUCUUAUUUCAUUGAUUUCAUCUUCUAUAGAAGUCCAUAGAAAGUCCUAACAUGAAGUGCUACCAGAGAAUUUCCUCCAUGUUAGCUCUGGGAAUAGUUUUGGCAUUUUCUGUCUUUUCUCUCACUCUCAUUCUUGCUUUCUCCUUUGCCUGUUGUAUAUUCUCUUAAUGCCCACCAUUUCUUUGCACAUUCAAUAUUUGAGUAGACAACCUACCUAGAGUUUCUAUUGGUCUCACAAGGUGAGCAGAUUCUCCUUAAUCCUCUUCUCACUCUGUCAGUGACUUAUUUGUCUUACUUUUCUUUGAAGUGUGUGCAUUGUGAGCUCUUCUCGGCUUUCAAAAAUAGCCUGGAGCACUGGGAGACAUCUUGGAGAGAUAAGCUUGGGUCGUGUGCGGCCUUUGGAGAUCUGGGACUUCCUUCUGGAUCUUUGUCAAUUUUCCUGUCUCAGGACUCAUUGCUCCUGGUUGGAGUUGGUUUAAAUUCUUGAGGGGAGAGAGGACAGGGAUGGCAUCUUUCUCUGGUCUGUCCUUUAAGUCAGUGUGGAUUAUUACUCACAUCAGAGAGAUCAUCCUACUUGUUUCAUAUCUCCACUUCCACUCACCUUCUUGUCUGGAUAGCUAUUUCUAUUCCUGUCAGUACAAGAAGAAAAACAAAAUAGGCUUUUGACAAAUAUAUCAUAUGAUAUCAUUUAUAUGUAGAAUCUAAAAUAUGGCACAAGUGAAUUUAUCUAUGAAACAGAAAUAGAGUCGUAGUCCCAGAGAACCGACUUGUGGUUAUUAAGGUGGAGGGGGACAGUUGGGAAGGAUGGAUUGGGAGUUUGGGAUUAGCAGAUACAAACUCCUAAGAGCACACUUUCUUAUCUUGUUCUGCUAAAUCUCCGUUAUUGUUGGAGAUGGUUAUAUCUGGGUAGUCCUAACCAUUUUUCCUUCUUUUGUCUCCUUCCUCUCGGCCAGGAGAUGCCCAAAUGGGAUGACUGGAAUUCCUCCAUCCCUGGGAAUUCCUGUGGUGACAGUCUUGGGGUUUGGGAGAGUUUUUACAACUCCUCCAACUGAUGACUAUGCCAACUUGUUAGUAAUUAUUCCCAGGUCUGCUGAUUCAUUUUCUUUAUGCAGCGCUGAUCCUGCCAACUGCACCAGAAUCUUCUCCCCUACACCCCUGGCUCAGCUGCCAUUUUCAUAAUUUCAUAACAUAAUGUUGAUUGUGGUGGUUCAUUUUCAUUUUUUAAAUAAGAUGCUGCUGUUGUUGUUAUAAUUAUUGUUAUGUCUUGGGGGGAGGGAGAUUCUAUGACCUGCUGUCUUUACUUGCCAGAGCACUGUUCUUGUUAUGGAUUAUUAGGUUAUUAUUAAACUUAGAAGUGCCCCAACCUGACUGUUUGUAGCCACAGUGACAGUUUACUGAUAUGUUGCAUAAGUUUGAGGCUGGAGAAAGUCAGGGGUUAACGCUAGUGUGUUUGUAAUAGUCCCUAUGGCAUUGUCUGGCUGCUAGGAAAUGCUCUUAUUGAAAGUUCCACCAGGAAAAGUUCUCUCUGCCUUUGGGGAACAUGAAACAGGAAAAAUGGCUUGAUGUUAAAUAGUGUAGUGAAGAAAUAUGAGCUUUGAAGCCAAACGGGUGUGGUUUAUAUCCAGCCUCUACCACAGAGUCAUAUGUGACAUCUAACCACUACUAACUUCAGACUUCUCAUCUGUAAAUGAGAAUAAUAUCCCUUGUUGUGUGGACCUAUGGGGGGAGGCAUGGAUUCAGUGAGACAGUAAUUCAAAGCAUUGGAUCUGUUCCUGACACAACUCCAGUGCUUGGAAACAGUAGUUUCUGCUUGCCUCACCCUUGUUGCCCUCCUCCAUCCUUUCUGAUCUGCAGACAUGGCCACCAGGCAAUGAGGAGCAAAUGUGGGAGCCUGACACACAUCUUAUGUUUCACAGAUACUUUUCUUGUCUUUUACCAUGUUCGUGUUUAAUCUAAAGAGUAUGAGAUGAGAUUAGGUCAUGGGCAGGUAGGAAAAUACUUGCUUUCUAUCUACCCCUAGAAAUAAAAAAAUAUAUAUAAAGAAAAAAAAGAGAGUGGGUAUGUUUUCCUUUAAAAUUUGAUUUGUAUAAAAUCCAGAAAAUCAUAAAAAGUGAAUAUAUACUAAACUCCUUGUUCUCCCAGGGAUGGCUCUUGACAAGACCACAGCAAAGAUUAAUACAUGUUAAUAUAACAUAGGUACAAAAGGCUGAGGUAUUUGAUUUUAGUUGAUCUCAGCAGGCAAAAUCCACUCUGCUUGCCCCUAGUCACUGAUGAAGAAAAAGGAAUUACAGGCAGAGAACCGGCAAGGAGGCCAGGAGUGUGACUUGAUUAGAAUGUAGUCUUCUCCUCAUUAGCCCUCCAGAGGAGUGGUCCAGAAGGGGAUCUGGCGGUGGUUAUCUCUGCUAAGUGAGAAGGAUGUUUGAAAGGAUCAAGGAGCUAUAGAUGAGCUUUUUAUAGCUCGUGGCAACACCCGAUCUCUGACCCACUGGGCUAGGCCAGGGAUCGAACAGGCAUCCUCAUGGAUACUAGUCAGAUUCGUUUCCAUGGCACCAUAAUGGGAACUCCUGGAUGGGCUUCUAAAAAGUCUCUUUCAAUUAAUAAAUCUAACAUCAUAUAACGUUUAAUUUGAGUUUUCCCCAAAGCUAACCCUGAGAUGAGGAUUUUGGUUCAAGUGUUUUCUUUGGGAGGUGAUACUAGGAAGCAGAGGUAAGGGGAUAGGGCAGUAGACAGGGAGGGCCAGAAAGCCAAUAAAGAUGCAUUUAUGAGUGGAUCACCACUGUAGGCCACUGGGGCUCGGUUUCAGUGAGGGCCCCUAAGAGACUAUGCAGAAGAUUCCCAGAGUCAUCUCACACAAGGACAAGAAAACUGGGAUCUUUGGCAGAGGGUCGCUCUUGGAGCAUUGACUUGCUUGUAUUCUAGCCAUCCCAUGCCAGUGGCCAGAGAGUAUCACAAAUGCAGGGAGCCCUCUAGACACAAAUGCAGGGAGCCCUCUGUGUGUACAGCAACUGUCUGCUGGUGGUCUCAGACAUGGGCAGAGGUAUUUGAGAUGCACACUGAAUGAACCCAAAUCACAUGAAUUUUUGCCUUAUGAAUAUCUCUGGAGUCACCUAGCC